UUUCCCCCAAUUUAAUUUGAAACAACCCGACCCAUUUUUUUUAAAUAUAAUUAAAUAUUCCCAUAAAUGACUAAUUAACCCAACUAAUAAAAUAACAAUUAAACCGCAAGUCAAAAAUACUAUUUUAUGAAUAAAUAAAUAAUUCGACCAACAAAACCAAAAAUAACUAACAAUCCUAACCGGGUUCCAAUAACCAAAAAAACCAAAAAUAAAACAAACGAGUUCUUAGAUCAUCCUCUCUUCCUUGCCAUGAUUCCACAAUCACACUUUAUCUUACCUGCAUUAACAACACAAUGAGAUGCGUAAGUAUUAUCAUAAAUAUUUAGUGAGGCGAUCCUCCCAUCUACGAGCUAUACACACAAGCAAAUAAAAUGGUAUAAUCACAAAUACAAUACAAACAAACCAGUCAUUAACAAUUCAUCCAAAACACAUUCACCACACCUACAUAUCAUCACACAGAACAAAUCACACAACCCAAUCGCUCAGAUAAGCUCAUGGUCACGCACUCACCUUAACAAAUUGAUUCUAAUAACAAUUAAACUCAGGAGAGACUCUCCUUGAGUCUGAAACAGUCCAGAAACGUCCUACAACAAGUCACAACCAAAAACAACCUUUGAAACAAACUGGACACAAUAAACAGAAACAAACUACCUCAAAGACGAAACCCUAAAAUACAAACUAACCGUUAACUAUUAAAUAUCUCCGGUGAAACGUUAGCCCUAGACGUCACGAAGUUUCCACAAAAUAUCGUCCCGAUCGGAAAACAUACGAGACCACGAUCUCAAUUUCAAUCCCCGCUGGUCUUAAUUCGCGUCUGAGAAAACGUGUCUCACGAAAUUGCGAAUAACUCAACCAAUUUUAAUCCAAAUCCAAAUCAAUCUUUUUAUUUAAUUAAUGUAGAAUGACACAUGUCAUUUUUUUGUGUAAUGAUGUGUCACUCAUAUGGAAAGAGUUGCCUAACUUUCAUAUAUAUGAUUAUUAGAAGCAUAAAAGAAUUAAUCAAA
rnacentral:sRNA from 1 species